GGCUGGGUAGCUCAGAUGGUCAGAGAGUAGUGCUAAUAAUUCCAUUGUCAUGGGUUCAAGCCCCAUACUGGCUA
rnacentral:tRNA from 1 species